rnacentral:rRNA from 1 species
UACGGAGGGGGCUAGCGUUGUUCGGAAUUACUGGGCGUAAAGCGCACGUAGGCGGCUUUGUAAGUUAGAGGUGAAAGCCCGGGGCUCAACUCCGGAAUUGCCUUUAAGACUGCAUCGCUAGAAUUGUGGAGAGGUAAGUGGAAUUCCGAGUGUAGAGGUGAAAUUCGUAGAUAUUCGGAAGAACACCAGUGGCGAAGGCGACUUACUGGACACAUAUUGACGCUGAGGUGCGAAAGCGUGGGGGAGCAAACUGG